rnacentral:rRNA from 1 species
GACGAACGCUGGCGGCGUGCCUAAUACAUGCAAGUCGAACGAGUGGCGGACGGGUGAGUAACACGUGGGAACCUACCCAUCAGAGGGGGAUAACACUUGGAAACAGUAGCUAAUACCGCAUACCAUCGGCUUUGCCCAGCUGGGAUUCGCUAGUCGAUGGGGUAACGGCGCACCUAGGCGACGAUCCCUAGCUGGUCUGAGAGGAUGACCGGCCACACUGGAACUGAGACACGGUCAAGACUCCUACGGGAGGCAGCAGUGGGGAAUAUUGCACAAGGGGCGCAAGCCUGAGGCAGCCAUGCCGCGUGUAUGAAGAAGGUCGUCGGGUUGUAAAGUACUUUCAGCGAGGAGGCGUUACUCGCAGAAGAAGCACCGGCUAACUCCGUGCCAGCCGCCGCGGUAAUAC